rnacentral:rRNA from 1 species
GACGAACGCUGGCGGCGUGCUUAACACAUGCAAGUCGAACGGAAAGGCCCUGCUUUUGUGGGGUGCUCGAGUGGCGAAAGGGUGAGUAACACGUGAGUAACCUGCCCUUGACUUUGGGAUAACUUCAGGAAACUGGGGCUAAUACCGGAUAGGAGCUCCUGCUGCAUGGUGGGGUUUGGAAAGUUUCGGCGGUUGGGGAUGGACUCGCGGCUUAUCAGCUUGUUGGUGGGGUAGUGGCUUACCAAGGCUUUGACGGGUAGCCGGCCUGAGAGGGUGACCGGCCACAUUGGGACUGAGAUACGGCCCAGACUCCUACGGGAGGCAGCAGUGGGGAAUAUUGCACAAUGGGCGGAAGCCUGAUGCAGCAACGCCGCGUGCGGGAUGACGGCCUUCGGGUUGUAAACCGCUUUCGCCUGUGACGAAGCGUGAGUGACGGUAAUGGGUAAAGAAGCACCGGCUAACUACGUG